rnacentral:rRNA from 1 species
AGCGAACGCUGGCGGCAGGCCUAACACAUGCAAGUCGAACGAACCCUUCGGGGUUAGUGGCGGACGGGUGAGUAACACAUGGGAACGUGCCUUUAGGUUCGGAAUAACUCAGGGAAACUUGUGCUAAUACCGAAUGUGCCCUUCGGGGGAAAGAUUAAUCGCCUUUAGAGCGGCCCGCGUCUGAUUAGCUAGUUGGUGAGGUAAUGGCUCACCAAGGCUACGAUCAGUAGCUGGUCUGAGAGGAUGACCAGCCACAUUGGGACUGAGACACGGCCCAAACUCCUACGGGAGGCAGCAGUGGGGAAUCUUGCGCAAUGGGCGAAAGCCUGACGCAGCCAUGCCGCGUGGAUGAUGAAGGUCUUAGGAUUGUAAAAUCCUUUCACCGGUGAAGAUAAUGACUGUAGCCGGAGAAGAAGCCCCGGCUAACUUCGUGCCAGCCGCCGCGGUAAGAC